rnacentral:rRNA from 1 species
UACAGAGGGUGCGAGCGUUAAUCGGAAUUACUGGGCGUAAAGCGUGCGUAGACGGUCAUGUAAGUCGGGUGUGAAAGCCCCGGGCUCAACCUGGGAAUUGCAUUCGAGACUGUGUGGCUAGGGUACGGAAGAGGGAAGCGGAAUUUCCGGUGUAGCGGUGAAAUGCGUAGAUAUCGGAAGGAACAUCAGUGGCGAAAGCGGCUUCCUGGUCCAGUACCGACGUUCAGGCACGAAAGCGUGGGGAGCAAACAGG